rnacentral:tRNA from 1 species
GGGAGGAUGGCUGAGUGGACUAAAGCGUCAGAUUGCUAAUCCAUUGUACGAGUUAUCCGUAUCGAGUUCGAAUCCCUCUCUUUCCG